rnacentral:rRNA from 1 species
UACGUGAGGGGGCUAGCGUUGUCCGGAAUCAUUGGGCGUAAAGCGCGUGUAGGCGGUCCGGUAAGUCCGCUGUGAAAGUCGGGGGGCUCAACCCUCGAAUGCCGGUGGAUACUGUCGGGCUCGAGUCCGGAAGAGGCGAGUGGAAUUCCUGGGUGUAGCGGUGAAAUGCGCAGAUAUCAGGAGGAACGCCAAAGCAGAAGGCAAGCUCUC